GUGAAGAACGCAGCGAAAUGCGAUACUUGGUGUGAAUUGCAGAAUCCCGUGAACCAUCGAGUCUUUGAACGCAAGUUGCGCCUCAAGCCAUUAGGUUGAGGGCACGUCUGCCUGGGCGUCACAUAUCGUUGCCUGAUGCCAGUUUCCUCGUGAUGGGUGACUGUGCAGGGCGAAUGAUGGCUUCCCGUGAGCAUUGUUGCCUCAUGGUUGGUUGAAAAUUGAGUCCUUGGUAGGGAGCGCCGUGAUAGAUGGUGGUUGAGUGACGAACGAGACCCAAUCAUGUGAGACCCCUACCGAAUUUGGCCUUCAUGACCCACAUGCGUCUUUGGAACGCUCAUGACGAGACCUCAGGUCAGGCGGGGCUACCCGCUGAGUUUAAGCAUAUCAAUAAGCGGAGGA
rnacentral:misc_RNA from 1 species